rnacentral:lncRNA from 1 species
AGGGUUUAACUCUAGGACUUGGAUUAAAACGAGCUCGUGGUGGGAGACUUCUCCAAGCCUGUCUGGUCUUGGCAUAAACAGUUUAUUAUUUAGGUAGAGGGUGGAAGAGGUCAAUUCACACUGCCAGCCACAGCAAAAACGUACUCGAAGAAGGAGAGAGAGGGAGAGGAAAGAGGGGACUGAGAGCAUGAGAGCAGUAGGUAAUUAAGUGGGUAGAGAGAAAGUAAGAGGUAAAAAGCUUAAGAGAGAGUGAGUAAGAGAGGUUAAGAAAGUAAGAAGUAAAAAGCCUAAGAGUAAGUAAAAGCAUAAGAGAGCAAAGUUCUUCUUACAUUUUAUCUUUUUCUAUGUUGUAUAUUGUAAUACCCAGUAACUUUCCAGUACAUGACACACAUCCCAUAGAAUUUACAUAUAGCCUAUAAGAACUGAUACAUUACCAUACAGUGAAACAUUUUAAACUUGAAAAGCAACUCUUCAAAUUCUUCUCUUGCUGCUUUGACCUUUGGAUUCAGUCAGCAGAAGGGUAUUGUUCAAUCAACAGUGAUUCUCCUUCAGCUGGCUAGGCUAUUGUUUUUUGGUUAUAUAGUACCUAACACUCAGUAUCCUGUAUCUCAAAGCUAGUUUUCUAUUUCUAUUAUCUGUUUCAUAUUUUCAGAAUCUUUUACCAAACAAUCAUAUUUAUAAGGUUUCUCUGUUUCAUCUUCUCCGACACCUAGGUGGAGCAGUGAAAAAAAUCUUUGGGCUGUGUCUGAUGCCAAGUAGAAAGUAAAGAAAUACCCUCACCUACAAAAGGAGAGGUAUCAGUCUAUCUGGAUAAAAAUCACCCUUUUACAGCCUAUAUAAGGUCUCUUUGAAGCAGCAAAACCUGUGUGUGUUGGAGAAUAGCUUCACUGAACUGGCUAGAAAAAAUGAACAAGCAAAAUCUAAACAGACACCUAAUAGGUAUAUUUUUCCUAGUUUUGGGUGACUGCAUUUGGAUUAAGGACUACAGAAGUAUACCUCAAUGCCUUUUAGUGCAGCUGACUAUUUUUGGCUUUACAGAUCUUAUUCUGUUUCAGCACACUUGCCAAGUUAUUCACAGUAAUUUUCUUUGGAAAAUCCCGUAAGAAUAAAAUAUACAUAUGAAAAAUUUUGUCUAUUUUG